UCAACAGUCUCAGGACCCUCCCGCGAUGCUAAUGCGGCGCCCCUGCCCCGCGCUCGAGUCCAGGCCAGGGCCGCCGAGGAGCGCCCCCCACCAGGGGGCCGCCACAAGAUGGAAAAAGAAAGAAUCAGAGGUCGGAAUGGGCAGGCUCUGAAGGGAAGAGGCAGAGGGACAGAAUCAUUCCAAGCACAUUCUGGAAGGGACUGGCAUCCGCAGCUGACGAGAACACGGCGCUCCCGUAGCCAAGCAAACUCAGAAUGGAUCCGCUCCAGACGGCUUGUCCGGACCGGGACCGCACGCCCGAGGGGAGUUGAGCCGGGUGCCUGGCUGACAGGCUCUCCCUCCGUGAGACGGGAAGACAGAAUGGCUGCUCUCACGGAAAACAGCACCUUUCUCGGUGGCUCUCCUGCCCGGGCCCCGCGCCCCUCUCCCUCGGUGUGUGCGCCCGCACUCACUCCUCAGUUCCUGGCCUCCCAAUUAUUCUGGGGCUGAUUAAAUUAGCAAAUGCAAUCACAAUCUGAAGUAAGUUAAUUGGGAGAAUUUAUUGGACCUGCCAGUUUUAUGCAUGUUUGAUUAAGUAUUAUAAGGUUUGGUUUUGAUCUUGCAUAAUUUAACUUUAAAUCCUGCACUGGGGGGCCCAUCAACCAUUAACGACCAAAAUAACCUCUUUUAAAAUGCAUCUAUUUAUGAUUUAUUUCUGAAUGCAAUAUCUUCCAGAUUUUUUUUUUUUGGUGCCGUUGCCCAAGUGACAAAUACCUUAAAAGUAACGUUUUGAGCCAUCCUUCUCACCCUAUAAAUCUCUCUGAACGUGUACAAUUCAUUAAAAGUUUUGGAAGGAA